AGAGAAGGGACAGCGAGGGGCUCUCAAGUUACUGGUCCCAGGGAUGCCGUCUGUGGAGACAACCCCAGGAUAUAAAGAGAACAGUAGGGAGUCUUGGUUUGGGUCGCGUCGGUGGCCACAGCCUUCGUCGUGCUCUGGAACCUCGGUCUUCGCAUCACCCUGCUCCCCCCACGUACUUGGUUUGCUCCGACUCUUGAGGUACUCGGCUGUGCGCACGGCCCCACGCGCAGAGAUUGAAGUCCUUGCUGCUAGUGGGUCGGGUCCUCGCUUUGUGCGGGGAUGCGACGUGCAGCAAUGGCGCUAGCCGUUCGAGUCGUGUAUUGUGGAGCUUGAGGCUAUAAGCCCAAGUAUCUCCAGCUCAAGGAGAAGCUAGAACAUGAGUUCCCCGGAUGCCUGGACAUCUGUGGCGAGGGGACUCCCCAGGUCACCGGGUUCUUUGAAGUGACGGUAGCCGGGAAGUUGGUUCACUCCAAGAAGAGAGGUGAUGGCUACGUGGAUACAGAGAGCAAGUUCCGGAAACUGGUGACUGCCAUCAAAGCCGCCUUGGCUCAGUGCCAGUGAGCCCUAGAGGCAGGGUCCUGAAGGCUCCUGGCCGGCCUUUCUUGGCAGCCGCUUCAUGACAGGAAGGACUGAAAUGUCUCAAAGACCUGUGGUCUUUCUUCGAUGUUCCUGCGGCCACCAAGUCAGGCCAGAGAUGGAUUCUGUGUGUGGGUGCCUUCCCAGAAUCUACCUGUGCACGCACCCCGCCCUGCCCUCCCGCCCUCUUCCUCACCUCUCUCUGAAUUCCCCCAUGUUUCCUACCUUCCCUCCUGCUUUGGUUUCCCGUCUCCCCCUCAAGACUGCAAGAAGACGGGCAGCCGUGUCGCCAGGUGUUCCUGGUUGAAUAAAGGUUGGCCAAGGCAACCUGAGGAAAUGUAGUUUAUUUUGCCUUGCAGUUUCGGGUCACAAUCCUGGAUGGGGAAUUCAAGGUAGCAGGGUCUUGAAGAAGCUGGUCACAUUGUAUCUGCAGGCAGAAAGCAGAGAGAUGGAGCUGGGUGAAACGGCCCAGCAGGCGAAGGCACUUACUGCCAAGACAUAGUCCGAGUUCAGUCCUUGAGACCCACAGACCACAUGGCGGAAUAAGACAAGCAACCCUGCUGACCUCUGUUGCCUGCUUUGGCACUCUGGAGAGUACACAAACGCACAUGCGUGUGAGCCCUCUCUCCUCCCCCCACCUUUCUCUCUCUCUCACACACACAUACGCACACACGCACACAGAAAAACUAUAAUACACAGAGUGGAGAACACAUGCUACUGCUCAGCUCCUGUAGUCCAGAUCUCCUGACUAUGGUCCCAUCCACAGUGGUUAAGAGCACUGGCUGUUCUUCCAGAGGACCUGGGUUAAAUCCUUAUUAACCACAACCAUUUAUAACUCCAGUUCCAGAGGAUCUGACACCUUCUGGCCUUCUCGGGCACUAGGCAUGCACAUGGUACACAUAUAUGCAGGCAAACCACCGUAUAUCUUUAGACAUACCAAAAGAGGGCAUCGGAUGCCCAUUACAGAUGGUUGUGAGUCACCAUGUGGUUGCUGG
rnacentral:lncRNA from 1 species